AAAUUUUUCACAUCACACCACAAGACUUUAGUCAAGAGAACUAAGAAAAAUACUCAUAAUUGUAACUCAAAAACUAAAGGAAAAAGCAUGCAAUUUUUUUUAUAAGAAAGCAAACAAAAAUCAAAACAAAGAAAAACUGAAAACAAAAUAAAGAAAACAAAAUAAAUAAAUGGUUCCCUCCCCCACACGCAAAACAUACAUUGUCCUCAAUGAAAGAGUAUAAAUAUAAAAUAAGAGUGAGGGAAAGGAAAGAACACACCCGAGGAGUCAAGGCGG
rnacentral:lncRNA from 1 species